UAUUGUGUCAGAGUAAUGUAUUAAAUUUAAGAUUUGAAAAUGAAUAAUAAGUUCCUUUAGUA
rnacentral:tRNA from 1 species